UCAAGCUAGAAAGAGCGCAAGGGGAAUGCCUUGGCAUCAGGAGCCGACGAAGGACGUGACAAGCUGCGAUAAGCUGCGGUGAGCUGCACAUAAGCUUUGACCCGCAGAUUUCCGAAUGGGGAAACCCGGCAGAGCAAUACUCUGUCAGCGUGCGUUGAAUCAAAUAGGCGUACGCGGGGAACCGCCUGAACUGAAACAUCUAAGUAGGGCGAGGAAGAGAAAUCAACCGAGAUUCCGCUAGUAGUGGCGAGCGAACGCGGAAGAGGGCAAACCGGAGGAUUUAUCCUCCGGGGUUGUGGACAGUUUUUUAGCAACUGGAACUAGGAGAACGGUAUGGGAAGGCCGGCCAUAGCGGGUGAUAGCCCCGUAUCCGAAAGGGAAGGUUGUGCGACUGGAUCCAGAGUACCGCCGGACACGUGAAACCCGGUGGGAAGCUGGGGGGACCACCCUCCAACCCUAAAUACUACCUGAUGACCGAUAGAGGAGCAGUACCGUGAGGGAAAGGUGAAAAGGACCCCGGGAGGGGAGUGAAAGAGAACCUGAAACCUUGUGCUUACAAGCACUCAAAGCCCGUUAAAGGGUGAUGAGGUACCUUUUGUAGAAUGGUCCGGCGAGUUAUUGUUACUGGCAAGCUUAAGGCAUUCAGUGCCGGAGGCGCAGGGAGACCGAGUCUGAAUAGGGCGUAUGAAGUCAGUGGCAAUAGACCCGAAACCGGGUGACCUAUCCAUGGGCAGGUUGAAGUGGGGGUAAAACCCCAUGGAGGACCGAACGCACGCCCGUUGCAAUGGUCGGCGAUGACCUGUGGAUAGCGGUGAAAUUCCAAUCGAACUCGGAGAUAGCUGGUUCUCCCCGAAAUAGCUUUAGGGCUAGCGUUGGCUUAGAUUACCGGAGGUAAAGCACUGAAUGGGCUAGGGGCCGAUAAGGUUACUGAACCCUAUCAAACUCUGAAUGCCGGAUAAUUGAUGGCCAGCAGUCAGUCUACGUGAGAUAAGUCUCGUGGACAAAAGGGAAACAGCCCAGACCCACAGCUAAGGUCCCAAAGAUACGCUAAGUGGAAAACGAUGUGGAGUUGCGAAAACAACCAGGAUGUUGGCUUAGAAGCAGCCACUCAUUAAAAGAGUGCGUAAUAGCUCACUGGUCGAGUGACUCUGCGCGGAAAAUAUAACGGGGCUAAGCGUAACACCGAAGCUUGGGCUGCACAGCAAUGUGCGGGGUAGGGGAGCGUCGAAUAUGGGGUGAAGUCGCAGCGGAAGCAGCGGUGGACUGUAUUCGAGUGAGAAUGCCGGAAUGAGUAGCGAGAAUUAUGUGGGAAUCAUAAUGGCCGAAAAUCUAAGGUUUCCUGGGGAAGGUUCGUCCGCCCAGGGUAAGCCGGGAGCUAAGGCGAGGCCGGAAGGCGUAGUCGAUGCACAUACGGUUGAAAUUCCGUAGCCACCGAACCUUAAGUACACUGACACAUGGAGAUAGCGGGACCCGGGCGUUGGUUGACCCGGGCGUAAGGGACCGAACUUUAGUAGGGAAGUCCGCGAUGCUCUGUGGCGAGAAAAGGUGUAUGGUAUGCUAAGGUGCCCGUACCGCAAACCGACACAGGUAGAUGAGGAGAGAAUCCUAAGGCCAACGGGAGAAGGGUUGUUAAGGAACUCGGCAAAAUGACCCCGUAACUUCGGGAUAAGGGGAGCCUCCUACGGGAGGCCGCAGCGAAUAGGCCCAAGCGACUGUUUACCAAAAACACAGGUCUCUGCUAAAUCGAAAGAUGACGUAUAGGGGCUGACGCCUGCCCGGUGCUGGAAGGUUAAGAGGAGAUGUUAGCCGCAAGGCGAAGCAUUGAAUCGAAGCCCCAGUAAACGGCGGCCGUAACUAUAACGGUCCUAAGGUAGCGAAAUUCCUUGUCAGGUAAGUUCUGACCCGCACGAAUGGCGUAAUGACUUGGGCACUGUCUCAACUGCAAAUCCGGCGAAGUUGUAGUGCGAGUGAAGAUGCUCGCUACCCGCGAUUGGACGGAAAGACCCCGUAGAGCUUUACUGUAGCUUAGCAUUGAAUUCCGGUAUUGUCUGUACAGGAUAGGUGGGAGACUGGGAAACUAGGGCGUCAGCCUUAGUGGAGUCAACCUUGGGAUACCACCCUGACAGUACUGGGGUUCUAACAGGACGCCAUGAAUCUGGUGACUGGACAUUGUUAGGUGGGCAGUUUGACUGGGGCGGUCGCCUCCUAAAAAGUAACGGAGGCGCCCAAAGGUUCCCUCAGAACGGUCGGAAAUCGUUCGUAGAGUGCAAAGGCAGAAGGGAGCCUGACUGCGAGACAUACAAGUCGAGCAGGGACGAAAGUCGGGCUUAGUGAUCCGGUGGUACCUCGUGGGAGGGCCAUCGCUCAACGGAUAAAAGCUACCUCGGGGAUAACAGGCUGAUCUCCCCCAAGAGUCCACAUCGACGGGGAGGUUUGGCACCUCGAUGUCGGCUCGUCGCAUCCUGGGGCUGUAGUAGGUCCCAAGGGUUGGGCUGUUCGCCCAUUAAAGCGGCACGCGAGCUGGGUUCAGAACGUCGUGAGACAGUUCGGUCCCUAUCCGUCGCGGGCGUAGGAAAUUUGAGAGGAGCUGUCCUUAGUACGAGAGGACCGGGAUGGACUGACCUCUGGUGCACCAGUUGUUCCGCCAGGAGCAUGGCUGGGUAGCUAAGUCGGGAAGGGAUAAACGCUGAAAGCAUCUAAGCGUGAAGCCUCCCUCAAGAUGAGAUUUCCCAUAGCAUAAGCUAGUAAGACCCCUUGAAGAACACAAGGUUGAUAGGUCAGAGGUGUAAGUGCGGUAACGUAUUUAGCUGACUGAUACUAAUAGGUCGAGGGCUUGACCAA
rnacentral:rRNA from 1 species